GAUGAACGCUGGCGGCGUGCCUAACACAUGCAAGUCGAGCGAUCUUCUUCGGAAGAGAGCGGCGGACGGGUGAGUAACGCGUGGGUAACCUGCCCUGUACACACGGAUAACAUACCGAAAGGUAUGCUAAUACGGGAUAACAUAAGAAAGUCGCAUGGCUUUCUUAUCAAAGCUUUUGCGGUACAGGAUGGACCCGCGUCUGAUUAGCUAGUUGGUAAGGUAACGGCUUACCAAGGCGACGAUCAGUAGCCGACCUGAGAGGGUGAUCGGCCACAUUGGAACUGAGACACGGUCCAAACUCCUACGGGAGGCAGCAGUGGGGAAUAUUGCACAAUGGGCGAAAGCCUGAUGCAGCAACGCCGCGUGAGCGAUGAAGGCCUUCGGGUCGUAAAGCUCUGUCCUCAAGGAAGAUAAUGACGGUACUUGAGGAGGAAGCCCCGGCUAACUACGUGCCAGCAGCCGCGGUAAUACGUAGGGGGCUAGCGUUAUCCGGAAUUACUGGGCGUAAAGGGUGCGUAGGCGGUCUUUCAAGUCAGAAGUGAAAGGCUACGGCUCAACCGUAGUAAGCUUUUGAAACUGUAAGACUUGAGUGCAGGAGAGGAGAGUGGAAUUCCUAGUGUAGCGGUGAAAUGCGUAGAUAUUAGGAGGAACACCAGUUGCGAAGGCGGCUCUCUGGACUGUAACUGACGCUGAGGCACGAAAGC
rnacentral:rRNA from 1 species